AUCUUUCAGCGUGUAUACCAUGCCAUCAUGCAUCUUGAUCUGAACGGAGCCAAUGCCCAUGAUCUCACAUAGGUUGUCAUCUCCCAUACGCACGACAUCUCCAUUCUGCAUAGACUUGUAAGAACUGAACCAAUAUCUGUUAGGGCAUAUAUGAAACAACCAUGCAGAAUCAAGUAUCCAUUCAUCAUGACCAGCAACACAACUAGCAAAAAUGACAGGACAGUCUCCUGAAUCAGAAUUAUCACUACCGGAGACAACAAACGCCUUACCAUCACCAUCGGAUUUAUUUUUCAUUAUACAUACUAUUCAUUUUCUCCUUAUUCUGCAGCUUCCAACAAUCCUCAAUGACAUGAGUUUUCUUCUUGCAAUACCUGCAGAACAACUUGCCUCUGGACUUCGAACGGCCCCUACCAUUCUGGCUCUUAUCUCGAUUAUUGUUGUUGUUGUAGGUUUCAGCUCAGAUCUGCCUCUGACCUGCAAUGCUUCACCCUUGGAGGAUGAUCCCUCAGACUAAACCAUACCUUUCAUCUUCUCCCUCAUCUGGAGAGCCUUGUAUACUUCCGCAAGGGUUAGUUCAUCAUAACUUAAUAGUAUGGUGUCUCGGAAAUUUGCAAACGAACUAGG
rnacentral:lncRNA from 1 species